AGUGAACGCUGGCGGUAGGCCUAACACAUGCAAGUCGAACGGCAGCACAGUAAGAGCUUGCUCUUACGGGUGGCGAGUGGCGGACGGGUGAGGAAUACAUCGGAAUCUACUUUUUCGUGGGGGAUAACGUAGGGAAACUUACGCUAAUACCGCAUACGACCUACGGGUGAAAGCAGGGGAUCUUCGGACCUUGCGCGAUUGAAUGAGCCGAUGUCGGAUUAGCUAGUUGGCGGGGUAAAGGCCCACCAAGGCGACGAUCCGUAGCUGGUCUGAGAGGAUGAUCAGCCACACUGGAACUGAGACACGGUCCAGACUCCUACGGGAGGCAGCAGUGGGGAAUAUUGGACAAUGGGCGCAAGCCUGAUCCAGCCAUACCGCGUGGGUGAAGAAGGCCUUCGGGUUGUAAAGCCCUUUUGUUGGCAAAGAAAAGCAGCAGGUUAAUACCCCGCUGUUCUGACGGUACCCAUAGAAUAAGCACCGGCUAACUUCGUG
rnacentral:rRNA from 1 species